GUCCCGCCAGGGGCACAGCUGGGUAGCUAUGUGCGGAAGGGAUAAGCGCUGAAAGCAUCUAAGCGUGAAGCCCCCCUCAAGAUGAGAUUUCCCAUCGCGUCAAGCGAGUAAGAUCCCUUGAAGAUGACAAGGUAGAUAGGUCCGAGGUGGAAGCGUGGCGACACGUGCAGCUGACGGAUACUAAUCGAUCGAGGACUUAACUAAACA
rnacentral:rRNA from 1 species